AUGCAUUCUCUCUCUGUAUUUUUCCACAGUUGUGCUCGGUUGGGAAUGAUAAUGCUCAGAGAGGGCACAGCGACACAGGACAAUGAGUGUGGGAAUGCCACAACAGUGAAGCCAACCUCAUCCUCUACCAAAAAUAUCAUUACUACCACCACUUUCAAUAGCACGUCCAUUCCCAUGACAGGGGUCACUGUACAACUCAAAGACAAGGCAGAAGAGAUCCAGUCCCACUUGCUGCUGCUAUUAAUCUUAAUGUUGAUAAUCUUGUUCAUGGCUGGAUUCUGUAUCCUGAAGAAAAGCGUGGCAAAGAAAACCCUUUUAAAAUGGUUUGGUUUUAUAAACAGACAACGUGAAGAUUAUCCACCCCAGAGUCAAACUGAAUAUGACAAUCAAAUUUUGUCUAAUUCCCAAUUGGAGACUACAGUACCAGUCGGCAGUGCUGGCAGAGAGGUCAAAGGUCAGAGUACGGGGCCCAUGCCCCAAUCCGGAGCUGUGCAGCAGGUCACAAUGGAGCACAAUGGGAAGGGUGAGAACGUCAGCAAUACUGUUGGAUCCAUCUACAUCUACUCUCCUGGAAUGGUGAUUUUGGGCUCCAACUCGGGUGAUAAAAAGGAAGAGGCAGGACUUUGCGAAGAAGGCGUUCCCCUCAUCAGCAGACCGCAGCAAGAGUCAAAUCCACCCUCGCAAGAGGUCAGAAUCAGAAUAAGCGCACCGGAAGAGGCUGAGGAGGAACUGAGCUUGAGUUUUCCUGUGCCAGCAACUGAAAAAGUGAGAACUUGAACAUGUGGUUUCUUGCAUGAACUUCAGAAUGGCCUUCAGGAAGAUACCAGGUUGAAUCACAAGGCUGAAAACACACAAGCUGCCAGUUUUAAGAUUCCCGGUAAAGGAUGGCAUCAGAAAGGCCCAAGUCAUGGUUUCAGUUCCAGAGAAACAUGCACACUGGCUAAAUGUACAGGCUACCUUGAUUGCAACGUAUGUCAAAUACAGAAUGUGCAGAUGUACCAGAUGGGAAUCAACAAGUAAUGAUUUUAGCUUUUUUUGCACAUCAAGAAAAAAGAUUUAUGCUUAAUUUAAGUCGGUCAAUUUUUAUAAAUGCACAUGUCGGUAUUGCCGCUUCAGCAAAACUGGGGCAAAAACAAGCAUGAAGACUGUGCACAGGAGGUACAGACAAAAGGGUGAGAACAACACCCACCACGAAGGUGUUAGGAGUUUUCAUAACGUGCAUCCUAUAAGACAGUAUAAAUGACACGCACAUGGCGUGUAUGAAUUGUUUUAUUGUUUUAAGUGAGUGGUCGAGAACCUAACGACUAGAUCUAUAUGUUUUUUAAACAGACUUUUGCUCUACUGUGUGGGUGUUUCAUAUGCAUGUCUGAAAAAUACCCAACCUCACCUUCGGAAAGAAGUGUCUGAUUUGACUGUUGUAGGAGGUCGUGUUGGGACAAGCUGUAUUCACCCUGCAACCUUUACAGAGCAUGAUCAAAAUGACAUUUCUAGUGUUGCAGUAGAAGACGCUUCUCACAUCUCACAUCCUCCAGACACUUGAGCUUGUGUUGUUUUGCAUGUUUUUUUUGUAAUUUGUCAAUGAAUGUGUUCUGAUGCUUUAUUAUUAUGAAUUCAAUAAAGUCCAUUCCUUCAGCAAUUACAGAAUGUCUCUCUCUCUAUCAUACUGUCUUUCUAUCAUUCUGUUGUUUUUUUCUACUGUUCUAUCAUUUAUUCUC
ensembl:lncRNA